UGACCUGAAUCGAAUCUCCCGCCUCAGCCUCCCAGAGUGCUAGUAUUACAGGUGUGAGCCACCGUGCCUGGCUUGGUGUUUGGUUCUUUAGUCCAAUAAAGGGGUUCUUCUCACCAGGCAGCUUUCUUUCAUGCGAUAAUUCAGUGACUCAAAUUCCUUCUGUCUUAUGGUUCUACCAUCCUUAAAAUGCCUUGUGAUUCUCUGUCUCCUGCUAAUGGAAGAGGAAGAGAGAAUGGAGAAGGUACUUCUUAAUUGCUAUGUUUACAGCUCUUCAGAUGAAGAGGAACUGUACUUAAGGGGCUGUACUUGAGGAACUGUACUCAAGAAGCUCAUACCUGGACCUCAAGCCUCAGCUUGAUGUUAUAGGUUUCGAGGAAGGGAAUGAAUGUAUUUUGCAUGAAGGAGGGAUGUGAACUUUCAAAGCCAAAGAGUAGACUAUGGUAUGUUAUACUGGCCAGAACUGGCCUCAGCAAUAUUUCUGGUUCCACAUGCUCUCCUGGAGUCUUGCCUCUUCUCAUCAAGAGAUGUUUGUUUCCCCUCUCCUUCAACCUGUACUACAUGACUUCCAAAGUGAGAUCAUAAAAGAUGAUACUGCUUCUGCCUAUCUCACUCAGGAUGCUUACCCUUAGAACCUAGCCCGCAUGAUGUGAGGAAGCAUAGGCCACAUACAGAAGCUGUGAGCAGCUGUCUUGGUGCCACGUGUGGAGUCAUCUGACAGCAUCAACCACCACACGUUAGUGAAUGAGCCUUCAUAGGAUUUCAGUCUGGAGACUUCCAGCCAUCCCAGCUGAUGCUGAGGGGAGCAGAGAUGAGCUGUCCCUUCUUAGGCCUGUCCAAAUAGCAGUUUCAUGAGCAAAUUAAAUAUUGUUGUUUUGGGUCA